UUACUUUGGCAGCACAUGUACUAAAAUUUUAAUGAUACAUGGAAGAUUGGCAGGGCCUCUGCACCAGGACGACAUGCAAAUUUGUGAGAUGUUUCAUACUAUU